rnacentral:misc_RNA from 1 species
UCGGAAGGUGCGGCUGGAUCACCUCCUUUCUAAGGAAAAUAAAUCUUCACACUAUUUUAAUUAUAUAUAUGGGGGUAUAGCUCAGUUGGGAGAGCGCCUGCCUUGCAAGCAGGAGGUCAGGAGUUCGAAUCUCCUUAUCUCCACCAAGAUCACAUAAGUGGUCAAAAGCUUCUUGAAAAAGAAGAGAACCAUAACAACUUAAAAACUAAUCAAAAUUUCUUAAACAAAACAAUUAAACUGGAAAUAAACAGAAAUGUUUAUUAACAAAGGUCAAGUUAAAAAGAGCACUAGGUGAAUGCCUAGGCACCAAGAGGCGACGAAGGACGUGACAAGCUGCGAAAAGCUACGGAGAGGAGCAAAUAUCCAUUGACCCGUAG